CUCUCUCUCUCUCUCUCUCUCUCUCUCUCUCUCUCUCUCUCUCUCUCUCUCUCUCUUAUCUCUCUCAAUCGUCUCCGCGUGUCUUCUUUAUCAUUGCUGGGCCAUAACGUGUUAAAAUCGUUGGAUCAACCAAUUACUUUGCAAUGUAUUUUGGGUUCGAGCUCCAAAGUACUCAUCUUUGGGGUCAAGGUACUUGUGACUGAUGGAUGACUGCAGUUGUUGUGGAGAUGAUGACGAUGUGGUGCGAUUUGGAUUUGUUAGACUGGUCUGGUCGAUUGGAAUAUUCUCGGGUUUGUUGAUUCUUAGGGGAAGAUAAUGAGAGGGAGAUAGAAGAAAGGCAAGAAAGACUGUGGGAGAAUGCGUAAUGGGCAGAUUGAAGGGAACAAGAAGAAGUAGAAAGCUGUUCAUUUGAACAAGAAUGUGCUUCGUGUCGUUUCAGAAAGAUGCUGCUGCUGGUAGCGCUGAUUUGAAGUCAGAACAUGCCUGGUCAUGUCUCUUAGGGAGAUAUCUAUUCAAGGAUUAUCCAUUAGAAGGUUAUUGAUCUUGGACUCUGCCGGGUGUAUACAUGUCUCUGGUCGUCAUCCUCUCGGAUCAAUCUUUGCUUGUCAUAUGCAGCAGUUGCCUCGCUUUAUGGAUGUAAUGAUCCCUUGUUCUUGAAAUGUCUGUUAGUUACAAAAAGCUUUUGGAUUUCAGACGGGGAUAUUAUUUCAUGCUUAGGGUGACAAGUCUGAUGAGGAAGCUAUCAUAAAAGAGAAAGAUAGAGUUAAUAAGAUAAGAGAUGAAAUGAAAGACCUAUACAAAACUUGGAUUUAGGUGCGGUAACACAUAAAAUAUUUACCAUAAAAUUCGAAUGUCGAGUGUCCAUGGAAUUCAAAUCAAACUCUUGUACCAAAAAAUAAUAGCGGAAUGUUUAUUCUGCUUUCAGAGUAAUUUAAAUGAAAACAUGGACCAUAACUGAGAUCAGAUGAUGAAUGUGACAUGGUGAUUAUAA